rnacentral:lncRNA from 1 species
AUUGCCGAUUCAUCCAUGGUGGUAAUUUGUCAUCAUCGAAACCUAUGAUCGUAUGUUGUAUGACAGUUUGCCCUUACAUACUCCCCCUUUUUGAUGAUGACAACCUGUGUGAAACCAAAGAAAUAAAACAUGCAAUAUUCACACACAUUAUACACACUCCCCUUUUCUUUUGUAAUCUAAGGUUGUCUAACAAACUUUUGUGAAUGUCUUGGCUUGGCUUUGGUACAUGGUCUUCUCCC